rnacentral:rRNA from 1 species
UACGAAGGGGGCUAGCGUUGCUCGGAAUCACUGGGCGUAAAGCGCACGUAGGCGGCUUUCUAAGUCAGGGGUGAAUCCUGGAGCUCAAACUCCAGAACUGCCUUUGAUACUGGGAAGCUUGAGUCCGGAAGAGGUGAGUGGAACUGCGAGUGUAGAGGUGAAAUUCGUAGAUAUUCGCAAGAACACCAGUGGCGAAGGCGGCUCACUGGUCCGGUACUGACGCUGAGGUGCGAAAGCGUGGGGAGCAAACAGGG